rnacentral:rRNA from 1 species
UACGUAGGGGGCAAGCGUUGUCCGGAUUUACUGGGCGUAAAGCGCGCGUAGGCGGGAAGAGAAGUCCGGUGGGAAAGCCCACGGCUCAACCGUGGAAGAACGCUGGAAACUCUCUUUCUUGAGGGCGGCAGAGGGAAGUGGAAUUGCUGGUGUAGCGGUGAAAUGCGUAGAUAUCAGCAGGAACACCCGUGGCGAAGGCGGCUUCCUGGGCCGCCCCUGACGCUGAGGCGCGAAAGCUAGGGGAGCAAACGGGG